GGUGAGAUGCCCGAGUGGUCAAAGGGGGUGGAGUCAAGUUCCAUUGCGUUAGCUAUCGUGGGUUCGAACCCCACUCUCAUCA